AGUGAACGCUGGCGGUAGGCCUAACACAUGCAAGUCGAACGGCAGCACAGUAAGAGCUUGCUCUUACGGGUGGCGAGUGGCGGACGGGUGAGGAAUACAUCGGAAUCUACUUUUUCGUGGGGGAUAACGUAGGGAAACUUACGCUAAUACCGCAUACGACCUACGGGUGAAAGCAGGGGAUCUUCGGACCUUGCGCGAUUGAAUGAGCCGAUGUCGGAUUAGCUAGUUGGCGGGGUAAAGGCCCACCAAGGCGACGAUCCGUAGCUGGUCUGAGAGGAUGAUCAGCCACACUGGAACUGAGACACGGUCCAGACUCCUACGGGAGGCAGCAGUGGGGAAUAUUGGACACUGGGCGCAAGCCUGCUCCAGCCAUCCCGCGUGGGUGAAGAAGGCCUUCGGGUUGUAAAGCCCUUUUGUUGGGAACGAAAAGCAGCAGGUUAAUACCCCGCUGUUCUGACGGUACCCAAAGAAUAAGCACCGGCUAACUUCGUG
rnacentral:rRNA from 1 species